GCAGAUGGCGUCUGAGUGCACAGUGGCGCGUGUGAUUCCGCAGUCUUGGGCUGUUCGGCCAAGUGCCCACCAGACGUGGGGCACUGGAGGGUCAGCAGCGUGGAGUCUGGCUUUCAGCGUCCACGGCUGGGAAAUCGGCCAUCGCCACGGCGGGAACUAGGACUGGCUGCGUCCCGGCCCUUCCCCAUCCGUCCACCGGACUCGUGGGCGCCCGCACUGGCGCUGAUGUAGUUUCCUGACCUCUGACCCGUAUUGUCUCAAGAUUAAAGUGGAGACGGGGUUUCAUCGUGUUGGCCAGGCUGGUCUCGAACUCCUGACCUCAGGUGAUCCCCCGCCGUCCAGAUUUUGAACAAAUCUCUCUAGGGAUUGAACAGAGCUGCGCCUGGAUCCUGCCACAGUGAGGAGACCUGAAGACCAGAGGAAGCACAGCAAGAGUCUCGCUUUGUUGCCCAGGCUGGAGUGUAGUGUGGCGAUCUCUGCUCACUGCAAGAAUCUGCCUCCCGGGUUCACACCAUUCUCCCACCUCAGCCCCCAGAGUAGUUGGGACUACAGGCUCAUGCUACCACACCCGGUUAAUUUUGUUUUUGUGUUUUUAGUAGAAACGGGGUUUCACCAUGUUAGCCAGGAUGGUCUCGAUCUCCUGACCUCGUGAUCCGCCCACCUCAGCUUCUCAAAGUGCUGGGAUUACAGGCAUGAGCCACUGUGCCCAGCUGUUUUUUCAUUUCUAUUAUGAUUUGUUCUGUGGACUGUCAGUGACUUAGCGGUAUGUUUUUCACAUGUUUAUCAAGCUGAAUAGUUCUGUAUGUCAGCUCAGCACCCCUAGUGUCAGCCAUGCUAGUCUCCUGCUGUGCAUAGAUGGGGGCCCGUCCACACCCGAAUCUCCUGGAUUCCCGCUGUCAGCACCUGAAGGUACCCACCCGAUGCAUCUAUCGCUUCCCUCCAUCCACCUCUCUUGUGGUUCUCAUGUUUCUGCCUCCCUAGAGACCAUUUCUCUCUAGAGCAGUAGUUUGCAAUACAAAUAAAAUGCCAGACACAUACGUCAUUUUAGAUUUUCUAGCAGUCACUUUAGAAAAGUUAAAAAGAAACAGGUGAAAUUAGUUUUAUUUCACCUAAAAUGUUAGCAUUAUCCAAAAUAUCACUUCAACAUCUUAUCAAAAUAAAAAUUAUUAA
rnacentral:lncRNA from 1 species